rnacentral:lncRNA from 1 species
UUUGACACAAAUUGUUGUUUUUUUACGAGAGAUUUUUUUAAUUUUUGAGCACCUCCGCCAACGUGAGCCAAUAAUUUCUUUUCAUAUUCGGAAAACCCCGUUUGUAUGCCAUCUUUAUCACUAAUUAUUACUGUGGCUCACGUUGGCGGAGGCCUUUAAAAACGAAGGAUUGCAGUCCACAAAUGGACAUUUUUCUAUCUUUUGACGUUAUCAACACACUUUAGCCAACCCAAAAUCAGGUUUCUGCCAUACUAGAAGACAAAUUAGGCAUGUGGUAUUGAAGAACAAAUAUAUUAAGAUAU